UUCAUUAAAACACUAUUUUGUAUGGACCUUGAACAAAAUUACCACAAUCUAAACACUGGACAUCCGAGAGACGGACACACUUGAAAGAGACAUUUGAGACACAAAGCAGAGUGACCAGUCCAACACUGAGAGGAAGAUGUGUCGCUCAUUGCUCUUCCUGCUGCUUAUCGCUGGAGCUCUGCUGAUCUCUACUGAGGGUCAGCAGGAUUAUCACAAGCUCACUGAUAAAUACAAGGCUGCUGUUGACAAGGCAAUUCAACACUGCAAUGAAAAAUCCUCAAAGCAUGUUAAUUUCCUUGGCUUCCUUCCUGAUUCAGAGAAAUCUGAUCCAUUUUACAUUGAGCUUCACUUGAAAGUCACCACCUGCACAAAAACAGAAAAGACCACACAUCGAGAUGACUGCCCAUUUAUGGACCGAAGGCCAAAAAUCAACUGUGCUGUUUGCAAUAAAGGGAUUGAGUCCGGCCUCGACAUUCACUGCGCUGCGCAACUGCAAGUAAAUAAG